CAUUGAUGGGAAACGCUCAAGGCUGGCUACAAUGCAGCCAAAGUCUUGCUA
rnacentral:SRP_RNA from 1 species